GAUGAACGCUGGCGGCGUGCCUAACACAUGCAAGUCGAGCGAAGCGGUUUUAAGGAAGUUUUCGGAUGGAAUUAAAACUGACUGAGCGGCGGACGGGUGAGUAACGCGUGGGUAACCUGCCUCAUACAGGGGGAUAACAGUUAGAAAUGGCUGCUAAUACCGCAUAAGCACACAGCUUCGCAUGGAGCAGUGUGAAAAACUCCGGUGGUAUGAGAUGGACCCGCGUCUGAUUAGCUAGUUGGUAAGGUAACGGCUUACCAAGGCGACGAUCAGUAGCCGACCUGAGAGGGUGACCGGCCACAUUGGGACUGAGACACGGCCCAAACUCCUACGGGAGGCAGCAGUGGGGAAUAUUGCACAAUGGGGGAAACCCUGAUGCAGCGACGCCGCGUGAGUGAAGAAGUAUCUCGGUAUGUAAAGCUCUAUCAGCAGGGAAGAAAAUGACGGUACCUGACUAAGAAGCCCCGGCUAGCUACGUGCCAGCAGCCGCGGUAAUACGUAGGGGGCAAGCGUUAUCCGGAUUUACUGGGUGUAAAGGGAGCGUAGACGGCGGAGCAAGUCUGAAGUGAAAGCCCGGGGCUCAACCCCGGGACUGCUUUGGAAACUGUUCUGCUAGAGUGCUGGAGAGGUAAGUGGAAUUCCUAGUGUAGCGGUGAAAUGCGUAGAUAUUAGGAGGAACACCAGUGGCGAAGGCGGCUUACUGGACAGUAACUGACGUUGAGGCUCGAAAGCGUGGGGAGCGAACAGGAUUAGAUACCCUGGUAGUCCACGCCGUAAACGAU
rnacentral:rRNA from 1 species